rnacentral:rRNA from 1 species
AGAACGAACGCUGGCGGCAUGCCUAAUACAUGCAAGUCGAACGAACACUUCGGUGUUAGUGGCGCACGGGUGCGUAACGCGUGGGAAUCUGCCCUUGGGUUCGGAAUAACAGUUGGAAACGACUGCUAAUACCGGAUGAUAUCGAAAGAUCAAAGAUUUAUCGCCCAGGGAUGAGCCCGCGUAGGAUUAGCUAGUUGGUGAGGUAAAGGCUCACCAAGGCGACGAUCCUUAGCUGGUCUGAGAGGAUGAUCAGCCACACUGGGACUGAGACACGGCCCAGACUCCUACGGGAGGCAGCAGUAGGGAAUAUUGGACAAUGGGCGCAAGCCUGAUCCAGCAAUGCCGCGUGAGUGAUGAAGGCCUUAGGGCUGUAAAGCUCUUUUACCCGAGAUGGUAAUGACAGUAGUCGGGAGAAUAAGCACCGGCUAACUACGUGCCAGCAGCCGC